rnacentral:lncRNA from 1 species
AGCCGCCAUCAGCAACGACCUCAAGUCUAUCCGCACACAGGAGAAGGCACAGCUGCAGGACCUCAACGAUCGCUUCGCCAGCUUCAUCGAGCGCGUGCACGAGCUGGAGCAGCAGAACAAGGUCCUGGAAGCCGCUUCCGCGCCCUGUAUGAGCAGGAGAUCCGUGAUCUGCGACUGGCGGCCGAAGACGCCACUAACGAGAAGCAGGCGCUGCAGGGCGAGCGCGAGGGGCUGGAGGAGACUCUGCGCAACCUGCAGGCUCGCUACGAGGAGGAGGUGCUGAGCCGCGAGGACGCCGAGGGCCGGCUGAUGGAAGCCCGCAAAGGCGCGGAUGAGGCUGCGCUCGCCCGCGCCGAGCUGGAGAAGCGCAUCGACAGCCUGAUGGACGAGAUAGCCUUCCUGAAAAAGGUGCACGAGGAAGAGAUCGCCGAGCUGCAGGCUCAGAUCCAGUAUGCUCAGAUCUCCGUGGAGAUGGACGUGUCCUCCAAGCCCGACCUCUCCGCCGCUCU